rnacentral:rRNA from 1 species
GCCUUCGGGUACAAUUGAGACAGGUGGUGCAGUGGUUGUCGUCAGCUCGUGUCGUGAGAUGGUUGGGUUAAGUCCCGCAACGAGCGCAACCCUUGUGUUUAGUUGCAAACAGGUCAAGCUGUGCACUCUAGACAGACUGCCGUGGACAACACGGAGGAAGGUGGGGAUGACGUCAAAUCAUCAUGCCCCUUAUGAUCUGGGCUACACACGUGCUACAAUGGCCGGUACAACGGGCAGCGAAGGAGCGAUCCGGAGCGAAUCCUAAAAAGCCGGUCCCAGUUCGGAUUGCAGGCUGAAACUCGCCUACAUGAAGUUGGAGUUGCUAGUAAUCGCGAAUCAGAAUGUCGCGGUGAAUGCGUUCCCGGGUCUU